UGGCACUGCACUGUGAUGAGUGUAGCCUAUUAGUAUUAGUACAGCCAAAGUGAAUAGGCGUACUAUAGUACUAUUACAACUAUUGAAAGAUAUUUACCUAUAUUAACAAGGAAGCAGGCCCGAUGGACAUUUAUUUUCAGCUGCUGCCACCAGACAGAAUGACACCUUGAAUUGCAGCUUCACCUUAGACGGGAAGGCCAAGAGGCAGCUUUGAGUUGCAAGACCCAGAGUGCUUGACUUCCAGGAGGAGGCGCUGAGCGCAGGCGGCCUGCUUCAUGACGCACUCGCUGCGGUACGUGGUGUUAUCGCUGGCGCACACCGCCUGGUCUGAGCGGCUGUCCGCGCACGCCUCGCCGCACGCCGAGCAGCGGCCUCGGCUCAUACGCGCGUCCCACAGGCACUUCUUCCCCGCGCUGCAGCGAAUGUCGUCGCACGACUUGGCCUCUGUGGCGAAAACAAGACAACAUUUACCUCCAGCUGGUAACACACGCAGGCC